UACAGAGGGUGCAAGCGUUAUUCGGAAUUACUGGGCGUAAAGCGCGCGUAGUCGGUUAUUUAAGUCGGGUGUGAAAGCCCCGGGCUCAACCUGGGAAUUGCAUUCGAUACUGGAUAGCUAGAGUUCGGCAGAGGGAAGCGGAAUUUCCGGUGUAGCGGUGAAAUGCGUAGAUAUCGGAAGGAACAUCAGUGGCGAAAGCGGCUUCCUGGACCAGAACUGACGAUCAGGCUCGAAAGCGAGGGGAGCAAACAGG
rnacentral:rRNA from 1 species